rnacentral:rRNA from 1 species
UACGGAGGGGGCUAGCGUUGUUCGGAAUUACUGGGCGUAAAGCGCACGUAGGCGGCUUUGUAAGUUAGAGGCGAAAGCCCGGAGCUCAACUCCGGAAUUGCCUUUAAGACUGCAUCGCUAGAAUUGUGGAGAGGUAAGUGGAAUUCCGAGUGUAGAGGUGAAAUUCGUAGAUAUUCGGAAGAACACCAGUGGCGAAGGCGACUUACUGGACACAUAUUGACGCUGAGGUGCGAAAGCGUGGGGAGCAAACAGG